rnacentral:lncRNA from 12 species
UCUUUUCAUAACACAGCUUUUUAUUUACAGCUACUCAGAUUGGCAUACAGCAUAAUUUUCAGCGAUCUCCUCCUGCUCACUCCUCUAAAGGGGGUCACAUCCAUGCAGUGGCACAUGGCACUAACUCCUUAUUGCACAGGGUUUCUGGUGCCUGCUCCUGCUGGAAUGAGAAGUGUCAGACAGCUUGUGUCCUCCACGGGUUCCUUGCCUCCCUGAGCGAUCUGUCGUAAGGAAGAGUAGCAAAAAAAGAAUUUUUCAGCUGGCAGUUUAUGAAGAACACAAUGAAUGUCACAGUCAAGAACAGAAAAAAAAACAGAAUUAUGUAAGUGACCAGGUCUGGCUUAUUUAUUUCCCCUUCUUUUAACACCCUGGCUGUCGACAUGUAAAGAGCGGAGGAGCUCACGGGUCUCGGAGUGCUGCUCAGGUAGGGCGUGUUGGUCUGGAUCAUUAGGUGAGCUUCAGUGGCACUGGUUGAAUUGAGCAAUUCACUAUACAUGUUCUUGCUUAAAUAUCUUCCACAGCAGAAGUAAAGCAGGAGGGCAAGCGCAGUCAGUCUUUGGCACAGGAAAGAAAUAAUGUCCCUGCUUGUAAAAGGCUGCAACCCAGCAGCAUGUUGUCUAAAACAAAUUAAUUCACUUGCAUGGCUUAGUGACUUCUUUUAAAUCUUCUUGGCUCAUAUUUACAGCAUUUAUCCACAAAUAUUAAUCAAAAAUGAUACAGGUACCUUGUGUCCUGGCCCUUGUUCCUCCAGCACGCCUCGCUUGGAGAGAUGCGCCGGCUCAUCUGCUGGUCAGCAGGGAUGUGCUGGGAGUGCUGGGAUGUGCUGGUCAGUAGGGGUGUGCUGGGAGCUCUGAGAUGUCCUGGCAGCUCUGGGAUGUGCUGGGAGCUCUGGGAUGUCCUGGCAGCUCUGGGAUGUGCUGAGAGUGCUGGGAUGUGCUGGGAGCUCUGGGAUGUGCUGGGAGCUCUGGGAUGUGCUGGCAGCUCUGGGAUGCGCUGGGAGCUCUGGGAUGUCCUGGCAGCUCUGGGAUGUGGGGGGGGGGGGGGGGGGGGGGGGGGGGGGGGGGGGGGGGGGGGGGGGGGGGGGGGGGGGGGGGGGGGGGGGG